rnacentral:lncRNA from 1 species
CCACCACUUCCGCCACUUCCGCCACUUCCUUCCAUUUUAAUUCAGAAAUUCUGUUUAGCAUAUGAUGUACAGCAGGUGUUCUUACAAAAUCAUAGGCAUCUGAAUGAAAGCUUAAAGGCCUUGGAUUAUCUUUUAACACCAGAACAGAAGACUUUAAUCAGGAGAAAAAGAAGAUGCUGAAACAGCACACAGGCGCCUGCAAUUUCUGUGUUUCCUAAGAGCUUGGGAAGGCUCCUGACAGCCUUUCCAUACUGACAGAAGUACUACCGCCCACUCUGUCAAAGGCAGUGAGAUACAUCAGAGCAGCAGGCUGGAAAUGGAGGAUUUGCUCCAGCAGCACACAGGCAGAAGCUGAAAGGAAACUCCUGGGAGGGAGGAAG